rnacentral:rRNA from 1 species
GUGAGGAAUAUUUGGUCAAUGGGCGCAAGCCUGAACCAGCCAUGCCGCGUGCAGGAUGACGGUCCUAUGGAUUGUAAACUGCUUUUGUACAGGAAGAAACAACUCUACGUGUAGAGUCUUGACGGUACUGUAAGAAUAAGGAUCGGCUAACUCCGUGCCAGCAGCCGCGGUAAUACGGAGGAUCCAAGCGUUAUCCGGAAUCAUUGGGUUUAAAGGGUCCGUAGGCGGCUUAAUAAGUCAGUGGUGAAAGCCCUACGCUUAACGUAGGAACGGCCAUUUGAUACUGUUAGGCUUGAAUUAUUAGGAAGUAACUAGAAUAUGUAGUGUAGCGGUGAAAUGCUUAGAGAUUACAUGGAAUACCAAUUGCGAAGGCAGGUUACUACUAAUGGAUUGACGCUGAUGGACGAAAGCGUGGGUAGCGAACAGGAUUAGAUACCC